AGUGAACGCUGGCGGUAGGCCUAACACAUGCAAGUCGAACGGCAGCACAGUAAGAGCUUGCUCUUACGGGUGGCGAGUGGCGGACGGGUGAGGAAUAAAUCGGAAUUUACUUUUUCGUGGGGGAUAACGGAGGGAAACUUAUGCUAAUACUGCAUACGACCAACGGGUGAAAGCAGGGGAUUUUCGGACUUUGUGCGAUUGUAGGAGCCGAUGUCGGAUUAGCUAGUUGGCGGGGUAAAGGCCCACCAAGGCUAAUUUCCGUAGCUGGUCUGAGAGGAUGUUCGGCCACUCUGGAACUAAGACUCGCUCCAGUCUCCUACGGGAGGCGGCUGUCGGGAAUCUUAUACAAUUGGCGCAAGCCUAAUCCAGCCCUCCCGCGUGCAUUCAAAAGGCCUUCGUUUUGUAAGGCCCUUUUGUUGUGAGAGAAGAGCAGCAGGUUAUUACCCCGCUGUUCUGACGGUACCCAAUGACUAAGCACCGGCUAGCUUCGUG
rnacentral:rRNA from 1 species